ACUCUCUCUAACAGUUUAGCUAAAGAGUUUUUUAUCUUAAAAAUAAAAAAGUUGCCAAAUAUCUUUCAACUUAUAAGUUUUGGCAGUUGAGAACUCUGUAUCUCGACAGAGUUUUUGCGGGUGCAUUUUUUUUUUUUUUGCGCGAGCAGUCUUGUUCUAGUCCAGCGCCGCAGCCGCCCCCUUCAAGUUUGACGCGUCAAGUAGUACUGCCCUCUCUCUACCCUUUAUUUAAUCAAGUUCUCGCCUCGUCUUGGUAAUACUAGCCGCCACUGCUUGUGCCUUCACACACUACUGGAAUCGGACGCUUUGCCUAGUGUCUAGGGCACUCGGCAAACGGCAAAAAACACUUAGCAAACCGUUUACCGAGUGCCACACAGCAGAGAUGGCAAAAAAUUGACGGCAAAGCAAGCUUUGCCGAGUGUCUUUUUUCGGUCACUCGGUAAAGACCUGCAAAAGUAGCCGUCACGGCCAACCUAAUUGAGGAUCGCGGUUUGCCGAGUGUCUGGG
rnacentral:lncRNA from 1 species